GGCGUAGGGCGCGAGCGUUGUCCGGAUUUAUUGGGCGUAAAGAGCUCGUAGGCGGCUUGUCGCGUCGUUCGUGAAAACCUGCAGCUCAACUGCAGGCUUGCGGUCGAUACGGGCAGGCUAGAGUUCGGUAGGGGAGACUGGAAUUUACGGUGUAGCAGUGAAAUGCGUAGAUAUCGUAAGGAAGACCAGUGGCGAAGGCGAGUCUCUGGACAGUUACCGACGCUGAGGCACGAAGGUCAGGGGAGCAAACGGG
rnacentral:rRNA from 1 species